AUCGCUUCUCGGCCUUUUGGCUAAGAUCAAGUGUAGAAACUGUUUUUUGUUUAGGUCUUAUUUUCUAAUUGGAAAAUAAAAUGAUCUGAGUUAUGAAGUUAU
rnacentral:snRNA from 1 species